rnacentral:rRNA from 1 species
GUGAGGAAUUUUCCGCAAUGGGCGAAAGCCUGACGGAGCAAUGCCGCGUGAAGGAUGAAGGCCUAUGGGUUGUAAACUUCUUUUCUUAGAGUAGAAUAUUGACGGUAUCUGAAGAAUAAGCAUCGGCUAACUCUGUGCCAGCAGCCGCGGUAAGACAGAGGAUGCAAGCGUUAUCCGGAAUGAUCGGGCGUAAAGCGUCUGUAGGUGGCUUCAAAAGUCUCCUGUCAACGAUCAGGGCUUAACCCUGGGCCGGCAGGGGAAACUCUAGGGCUAGAGUUUAGUAGGGUCAGAGGGAAUUCCCGGUGGAGCGGUGAAAUGCGUAGAGAUCGGUAGGAACACCAAAGGCGAAAGCACUCUGCUGGGCCACAACUGACACUGAGAGACGAAAGCGAGGGGAGCAAAAGUGAUUAGAUACCCGUGUAGUCC